rnacentral:rRNA from 1 species
AGCGAACGCUGGCGGCAGGCCUAACACAUGCAAGUCGAGCGCCGUAGCAAUACGGAGCGGCAGACGGGAGAGUAACACGUGGGAACGUACCCUUCGGUUCGGAACAACCCAGGGAAACUUGGGCUAAUACCGGAUAAGCCCUUACGGGGAAAGAUUUAUCGCCGAAGGAUCGGCCCGCGUCUGAUUAGCUAGGUGGUGGGGUAACGGCUCACCAAGGCGACGAUCAGUAGCUGGUCUGGGAGGAUGAUCAGCCUCACUGGGACUGAGACACGGCCCAGACUCCUACGGGAGGCAGCGGUGGGGAAUAUUGGACAAUGGGCGCAAGCCUGAUCCAGCCAUGCCGCGUGGGUGAUGAAGGCCCUAGGGUUGUAAAGCCCUUUCGGCGGGGAAGAUAAUGACGGUACCCGCAGAAGAAGCCCCGGCUAACUUCGUGCCAGCCGCCGCCGUAACAC